rnacentral:lncRNA from 1 species
UUCCCUCCAUCAACAUCAUAAAAAAUUAGAUUCCUGCACCACCAUAUAAAAAUAGUUUAUUAAUUUUAAAUGCACUCUAAUAAUUUUGUUCACAUAGUGUUAAAUUAUAAAUAUAUACCUUACCAUCUCAGAUGGCUGAUAAGCGAUGAGUAGCCUGUGCAUAGAGUACAGACUGAUCUAAUGGACUUGACUCCAUAAAUACGAUACACUGC